AGGACUAGGGCUUUAGCUAGAGCAUUUCUAAAAAUUUGCAAAAGUGACUUUGAUAUUCAUAGAUUCCUUUUUGAUACUAUGAACUCUGCAGAUAUCGGUUUUGACAGUCAUGCCAUUUUGAUUACAGGUAUGGUUUAAGUCCUAGUAUCUUCCCUCCUUCAUUUUGGACUAAGGACCAUCUGAAGGGCAUUUUAAGGACUCCUUAAAAGCAACCUGUUGAGCAAGAGCACUUAGAACUUCUGAAGUUAUGUUGAAAUAUGACAAAUACCUCUUAGUACUCAAAGUUGAAAUCUAUCCUGAGACCCUGGAAGUCGAAUACUUCGGCACAAUGGAUUCCUCAAAUCUGGUAGCACAGCAGGAAGAAACAAGAGCUGUACCGGAAUUCUUUGGUGCUUCCUAGGGCUGGUGAAGCAGACAGGCUUCGUGACUUAGCUCGACCCCGGCUAGUACUGCUCCACUCCUCAUCAUCAUGACAUGCUGAGCAAUGAUAAGCAGAUUCUGAGCUCACAUCAGUUUUACUGGUACAUAGUUUUUCUCGAUUCAUCUCCAUACUGGAAGUGAAGGAGCUUCAGUUAGGGAAAAACUCAAUUC